rnacentral:rRNA from 1 species
UACGGGGGGGGGUAAGCGUUGUUCGGAAUUACUGGGCGUAAAGGGCUCGUAGGCGGCCAACUAAGUCAUACGUGAAAUCCCUCAGCUUAACUGGGGAACUGCGUGUGAUACUGGAUGGCUUGGAUUUGGGAGAGGGAUGCGGAAUUCCAGGUGUAGCGGUGAAAUGCGUAGAUAUCUGGAGGAAUACCGGUGGCGAAGGCGGCAUCCUGGACCGGCAUUGACGCUGAGGAGCGAAAGCCAGGGGAGCAA